rnacentral:rRNA from 1 species
AGUGAACGCUGGCGGUAGGCCUAACACAUGCAAGUCGAACGGCAGCACAGUAAGAGCUUGCUCUUACGGGUGGCGAGUGGCGGACGGGUGAGGAAUACAUCGGAAUCUACUUUUUCGUGGGGGAUAACGUAGGGAAACUUACGCUAAUACCGCAUACUACCUACGGGUGAAAGCAGGGGAUCUUCGGACCUUGCGCGAUUGAAUGAGCCGAUGUCGGAUUAGCUAGUUGGCGGGGUAAAGGCCCACCAAGGCGACGAUCCGUAGCUGGUCUGAGAGGAUGAUCAGCCACACUGGAACUGAGACACGGUCCAGACUCCUACGGGAGGCAGAAGUGGGGAAUAUUGGACAAUGGGCGCAAGCCUGAUCCAGCCAUACCGCGUGGGUGAAGAAGGCCUUCGGGUUGUAAAGCCCUUUUGUUGGGAAAGAAAAGCAGCAGGUUAAUACCCCGCUGUUCUGACGGUACCCAAAGAAUAAGCACCGGCUAACUUCGUG